AGAGUUUGAUCAUGGCUCAGGACGAACGCUAGCGACGUGCCUAAGAAAUGCAAGUCGAGCGAGGUUUAGGAGCUUGCUCCGAAGACCUAGCGGCGAACGGUCGCGUAACACGUAAGCAACCUGCCCUAAAGUUUGGGAUAGCCCUCCGAAAGGGGGAUUAAUACCGGAUGUGGACACUGUAUCGCUUGUUACGGUGUCUAAAGCAGUAAUGCGCUUUAGGAUGGGCUUGCGGCCUAUCAGCUAGUUGGUGUGGGUAACGGCCUACCAAGGCGACGACGGGUAGCUGGUCUGAGAGGAUGGUCAGCCGGACUGGGACUGAGACACGGCCCAGACUCCUACGGGGGGCAGCAAUUAGGAAUCUUGCGCAAUGGGCGAAAGCCUGACGCAGCGACGUCGCGUGAACGAUGAAGUCUUUCGGGAUGUAAAGUUCUUUUCUGAGGGAAGAAGGAUGUGACGGUACCUCAGGAAUAAGCCCCGGCUAACUACGUGCCAGCAGCCGCGGUAAUACGUAGGGGGCGAGCGUUGUCCGAAUUCACUGGGCGUAAAGCGCGCGUAGGCGGGUUAUUAAGUUAGGGGUGAAAUCCCGAGGCUCAACCUCGGAACUGCCUUUAAAACUGGUAGCCUUGAGGUAUGGAGAGGGAAGUGGAAUUCCUGGUGUAGCGGUGAUAUGCGUAGAUAUCAGGAGGAACACCCGUGGCGAAGGCGGCUUCCUGGCCAUAUCCUGACGCUGAGGUGCGAAAGCUAGGGUAGCGAACGGGAUUAGAUACCCCGGUAGUCCUAGCCGUAAACGAUGGAUACUAGGUGUUAUAGGUAUCGACCCCUGUAGUGCCGGAGCUAACGCAUUAAGUAUCCCGCCUGGGGAGUACGACCGCAAGGUUGAAACUCAAAGGAAUUGACGGGGGCCCGCACAAGCGGUGGAGCAUGUGGUUUAAUACGUCACUAACCGUAGAACCUUACCCAGGCUUGACAUCUGUGGAAUCCCUAUGAAAGUGGGGAGUGCCUCGUAAGAGGAGCCACAAGACAGGUGUUGCAUGGCUGUCGUCAGCUCGCGUCGUGAGAUGUUGGGUUAAGUCCCGCAACGAGCGCAACCCUCAUCCGAUGUUGCCAGCGUAAAGUCGGGAACUCUUCGGAAACUGCCCGUGUAAGCGGGAGGAAGGUGG
rnacentral:rRNA from 1 species